rnacentral:rRNA from 1 species
AACGAACGCUGGCGGCGCGUCUUAAGCAUGCAAGUCGAACGGUAAGGGAGAGCUUGCUCUCCCCUAGAGUGGCGGACUGGUGAGUAACGCGUGGGUGACCUGCCCUGAAGAUGGGGAUAGCUAGUAGAAAUAUUGAUAAUACCGAAUGUGCUCAUUUACAUAAAGGUAAAUGAGGAAAGGAGCUACGGCUCCGCUUCAGGAUGGGCCCGCGUCCCAUUAGCUGGUUGGUGAGGUAAAGGCCCACCAAGGCAACGAUGGGUAUCCGGCCUGAGAGGGUGAACGGACACAUUGGGACUGAGAUACGGCCCAAACUCCUACGGGAGGCAGCAGCUAAGAAUCUUCCGCAAUGGACGAAAGUCUGACGGAGCGACGCCGUGUGAAUGAAGAAGGCCGAAAGGUUGUAAAAUUCUUUUGCAGAUGAAGAAUAAGAAGAAGAGGGAAUGCUUCUUUGAUGACGGUAGUCAUGCGAAUAAGCCCCGCUAA